rnacentral:rRNA from 1 species
AGAGUUUGAUCAUGGCUCAGGACGAACGCUGGCGGCGUGCCUAACACAUGCAAGUCGACGAGAAAAGGGUAGCAAUAUCCUGAGUAAAGUGGCGCAAGGGUGAGUAAUCUGUAAGUAAUCUACCCAUAGGUUUGGAAUAAUCCCGCGAAAGUGGGACUAAUACCGAAUGAUGCAGCGGAUCCGCAUGGAUAUGUUGUUAAAGUUUCAGCAAUGGAACGUCUAUGGAUGAGCUUGCAUCUGAUUAGCUAGUUGGUAGGGUAAAAGCCUACCAAGGCAACGAUCAGUAGCUGGUCUGAGAGGAUGAUCAGCCACACUGGAACUGAGACACGGUCCAGACUCCUACGGGAGGCAGCAGUGAGGAAUAUUGGGCAAUGCCCGCAAGGGUGACCCAGCAACGCCGCGUGGAGGAUGAAUGCCGUAAGGUUGUAAACUCCUGUUAGAAGGGACGAAAAAUUGGAAUCGCAAGACUUCCAAAUUGACGGUACCUUCAGAGAAAACCCCGGCUAACUACGUGCCAGCAGCCGCGGUAAUACGUAGGGGGUCAGCGUUGUCCGGAUUUACUGGGUGUAAAGGGCGCGUAGGCGGAUUGGCAAGUUAGAGGUGAAAUCCUACAGCUUAACUGUAGAACUGCCUUUGAUACUGCAAAUCUUGAGUUCAGAAGAGAGAGAUGGAAUUCCAGGUGUAGUGGUGAAAUACGUAGAUAUCUGGAAGAACACCAGUGGCGAAGGCGAUCUCUUGGUCUGACACUGACGCUGAGGCGCGAAAGCGUGGGUAGCAAACAGGAUUAGAUACCCUAGUAGUCC